UACGAGUGCCCCAAGCGUUAUCCGGAAUUAUUGGGCGUAAAGGGUGUGUAGGUGGUUGUGUUAGUCUUCUGUUAAAUUCUUCGGCUUAACCGGGGGCAUGCGGAGGAAACGGCACAACUAGAGGAUGCGAGAGGUGAACGGAACUCAUGGAGUAGGGGUGAAAUCCGUUGAUAUCAUGGGGAACACCAAAUGCGAAGGCAGUUCACUGGCGCACUCCUGACACUGAGACACGAAAGCGUAGGUAGCGAAUGGG
rnacentral:rRNA from 2 species